UACAGAGGGUGCGAGCGUUGUCCGGAAUCACUGGGCGUAAAGGGCGCGUAGGCGGCCUGGUAAGUAGGGGGUGAAAUCCUGCGGCUCAACCGCAGGGCUGCCUUCUAAACUGUCAGGCUGGAGCACGGUAGAGGCAGAUGGAAUUCCCGGUGUAGCGGUGGAAUGCGUAGAGAUCGGGAAGAACACCAGUGGCGAAAGGCGGUCUGCUGGGCCGUUGUGACGCUGAGGCGCGACAGCGUGGGGGAGCGAACAGG
rnacentral:rRNA from 1 species